AACGAACGCUGGCGGCAGGCCUAACACAUGCAAGUCGAGCGAUCCUUUCGGGGAUAGCGGCGGACGGGCGAGUAACGCGUGGGAACGUACCCUUUGCUACGGAAUAGCCUCGGGAAACUGGGAGUAAUACCGUAUGUGCCCUUCGGGGGAAAGAUUUAUCGGCAAAGGAUCGGCCCGCGUUGGAUUAGGCAGUUGGUGGGGUAAUGGCCUACCAAGCCGACGAUCCAUAGCUGGUUUGAGAGGAUGAUCAGCCACACUGGGACUGAGACACAGCCCAGACUCCUACGGGAGGCAGCAGUGGGGAAUCUUAGACAAUGGGGGCAACCCUGAUCUAGCCAUGCCGCGUGAGUGAUGAAGGCCCUAGGGUUGUAAAGCUCUUUCAGCUGGGAAGAUAAUGACGGUACCAGCAGAAGAAGCCCCGGCUAACUCCGUG
rnacentral:rRNA from 1 species